UACGAAGGGGGCGAGCGUUGUUCGGAUUUACUGGGCGUAAAGGGCGCGUAGGCGGCCAGCGCAAGUCAGUUGUGAAAUCUCCGGGCUUAACUCGGAACGGUCAACUGAUACUGCGCGGCUAGAGUGCAGAAGGGGCAACUGGAAUUCUCGGUGUAGCGGUGAAAUGCGUAGAUAUCGAGAGGAACACCUGCGGCGAAGGCGGGUUGCUGGGCUGACACUGACGCUGAUGCGCGAAAGCCAGGGGAGCGAACGGG
rnacentral:rRNA from 1 species